UCGUGUUCGUAUGUCGAAUGGCGGCCACCUAGUAGCAAUUAAGUUGCGGUUUUCUCUGUGUUCUAAUUGCUACUUGCUACCCAGGGUGUGUGGUCCCCGUUCGGUACACGAAUACAUUCAUUCUCAACAGUUUGAACCGAACAAUAUAGACAUUAAAAUAGCAGGGAGAGGAUUAAACUGAAGCAUAUAGGCAAAUACAUAAAAGUCCUUCACAGUGC